UUUGAUGGCGACCGGCGCACGGGUGAGUAACACGUAUCCAACCUGCCGAUGACUCGGGGAUAGCCUUUCGAAAGAAAGAUUAAUACCCGAUGGCAUAGUUCUUCCGCAUGGUAGAACUNUUAAAGAAUUUCGGUCAUCGAUGGGGAUGCGUUCCAUUAGCUUGUUGGCGGGGUAACGGCCCACCGGGGCGACGAUCAGUAGGGGUUCUGAGAGGAAGGUCCCCCACAUUGGAACUGAGACACGGUCCAAACUCCUACGGGAGGCAGCAG
rnacentral:rRNA from 1 species